rnacentral:rRNA from 1 species
UACGUAGGGUGCGAGCGUUGUCCGGAAUUAUUGGGCGUAAAGAGCUCGUAGGCGGUGUGUCACGUCGGCCGUGAAAACCUGCAGCUUAACUGUGGGCGUGCGGUCGAUACGGGCAUCACUGGAGUUCGGCAGGGGAGACUGGAAUUCCUGGUGUAGCGGUGAAAUGCGCAGAUAUCAGGAGGAACACCGGUGGCGAAGGCGGGUCUCUGGGCCGUAACUGACGCUGGAGGAGCGAAAGCCAUGGGGAGCGAACAGG